GUGAAUCAUCAAAUUUUUGAACGCAAAUUGCACUCUCGGGUAUUCCGGGGAGUAUGCCUGUUUGAGGGUCAGUGUAAAUAAAAAUCGGUGUAGUUGCUACCUUUCGUGGGGACGCACCGGAUUGGGGUCAUCUGUCCUUCGGUGAUGUUACCUAAAAUUGUGCAUGAUUUUUUUCUAAGGGGUUUAAAUGAUUGUACAUACGUUUGCGUUAGCGAAUACUCUG
rnacentral:misc_RNA from 1 species